AUACUUACCUGAGAGGGGAGACACCAUGAUCACGUAGGUGGUUUUCCCAGGGCAAGUCUUAUUCAUCGCACUCCGGAUAUGCUGACCCCUGUGAUUUCCCCAAAUGUGGGAAACUCUACCACUGUUUCCCACAGCGGGUAGGGUAUUUGCCUUGCAUG